AACGUAGGAGGCGAGCGUUAUCCGGAUUUACUGGGCGUAAAGCGCGUGCAGGCGGUCAUGCAAGUUGGGCGUGAAAUCUCCUGGCUUAACUGGGAGGGGUCGUUCAAGACUGUGUGACUUGAGUGCAGGAGAGGGAAGCGGAAUUCCUGGUGUAGCGGUAAUAUGCGCAGAUAUCAGGAGGAACAUCCGUGGCGAAGGCGGCUUCCUGGCCUGUAACUGACGCUCAGACGCGAAAGCUAGGGUAGCGAACGGGAUUAGAUACC
rnacentral:rRNA from 1 species